rnacentral:tRNA from 1 species
GGGGUUGUAGCUCAGUGGUAGAGCACUUGCCUAGCACAUGUGAGGCACUGGGUUCAAUCCCCAGAACCACA